rnacentral:ribozyme from 11 species
CUUUCCUCUUUUAUCGUUUCUUUUCUUUCACCUGUCUUUCUUCUUCUUUCUCUGGAAUCUAGUGGAAAUUGUCCUGAGUGACGAAAGCUCCUUGCAAAAGAUGGAGGACGCUGAUAUGAAGUUCAAUGAAGACUCCGCAGAAACAAAUGAAGCUAAAGAUCUUUUCU